rnacentral:rRNA from 1 species
UACAGAGGCCUCGAGCGUUAGGCGGAAUCACUGGGCUUAAAGCGUGUGUAGGUGGAUGCCUAAGUACUUUGUGAAAUCCCAUGGCUUAACCAUGGAAUUGCUUGGUAUACUGGGCGUCUUGAGCCACUCAGGGGCUACCGGAACAAACGGUGGAGCGGUGAAAUGCGUAGAUAUCGUUUGGAACGCCUAUGGUGAAAACAGGUAGCUGGGGGUGUGCUGACACUGAGACACGAAAGCCAGGGGAGCGAACGGG